CAGAAGCGCCUUAUUGCUGCU
rnacentral:siRNA from 1 species